rnacentral:rRNA from 1 species
UACGGAGGGUGCGAGCGUUGUUCGGAAUCACUGGGCGUAAAGGGCGUGUAGGCGGUCUGUUAAGUCUGAUGUGAAAGCCCGGGGCUCACCCCCGGAAGUGCAUUGGAUACUGGCGGACUCGAGUCCCGGAGAGGAGGGUGGAAUUCCUGGUGUAGCGGUGAAAUGCGUAGAUAUCUGGAGGAACACCGGUGGCGAAGGCGGCAUCCUGGACCAACACUGACACUGAGGAGCGAAAGCCAGGGGAGCAAACGGG